CCUACGGGAGGCAGCAGUGGGGAAUAUUGCACAAUGGGGGAAACCCUGAUGCAGCGACGCCGCGUGAGUGAAGAAGUAUUUCGGUAUGUAAAGCUCUAUCAGCAGGGAAGAAAAUGACGGUACCUGUUUAAGAAGCCCCGGCUAACUACGUGCCAGCAGCCGCGGUAAUACGUAGGGGGCAAGCGUUAUCCGGAUUUACUGGGUGUAAAGGGAGCGUAGACGGCAGCACAAGACUGGAGUGAAAUGCCGGGGCUUAACCCCGGAACUGCUUUGGAGACUGUGCAGCGAGAGUGCAGGAGAGGUAAGUGGAAUUCCUAGUGUAGCAGUGAAAUGCGUAGAUAUUAGGAGGAACACCAGUGGCGAAGGCGGCUUACUGGACUGUAACUGACGUUGAGGCUCGAAAGCGUGGGGAGCAAACAGGAUUAGAUACCCCUGUAGUC
rnacentral:rRNA from 1 species